CGCACAUUGCGCCCAUUAGUAUUCUAGUGGGCAUGCCUGUUCGAGCGUCAUUUCAACCCUCAAGCUCAGCUUGGUGUUGGGGAAGUUUUGCUUCUGCAACACUCCCCGAAAAAUAUUGGCGGUGCUCGUCAGUACUCCAUGCGCAGUAAUUUUCAAUUUCGUAUGGGUGCUGGCGGUGCUAUGCUUGCCACUAAUCCAAAUAUUUCGUGGUUGACCUCGGAUCAGGUAGGAAUACCCGCUGAACUUAA
rnacentral:misc_RNA from 1 species